UUAAUGACCCGGAGCCACAUGACGGAGCAUGACACAGCACUUUUGGGCACAAGGCAGGGCCCAGAGGGGUGCGUGGGGGCCGCAGCCCAGCCCCCAAGCCCCGCCAGCGGGUUUACUGGGGUGUAACAAACACACGAUAAACUGCGCAUAUUCCAGUGUUCAUGUGGAUGAGUUUGGACAUAUGCACACACUUCCGAAACCACCAGCACAAUCAAGACAGCAGACAUAUCCAUCGCCCCCAAGGGUGUCCUUGUGUCUUUUUGUCAUUCAUCCCUCCCGGCCGCCCCAUCCACACUCCCAUCGCCUGCCGACUGUGGCUGAUCUGCUUUCUGCGGCUGUGGAUUAGUUUGCGUUCUCUACAAUUUUCUGGAGGUGGUUGGGUCCUGAGAGCUCUGCCCUUAUGAAUGGAUUAGUAUCAUUAUUGCAGGAGUGGCUUCAUGAUGGAGAGAGUGGAUUUGUCAUGAAAGUGAGUUCGGCCAUUCCUUGCUGUCUCACGUGCCACCUCUUGCCAUGGGAUGCCCUCGCCAUGGGAUGACAGCAAGAAGGCCCUUGCUUGAGUGAGCCCCUCCAUCUUCGGCUCUCCGGCCUCCAGGACUGUUAGAAAUACAUCUCUGUUCUUUGUAAAUUACCCAGGCUGUAGUACUCUGUUAUAGCAACACAAAACAGACUAAGACACUACUAUGUAGAUGAAGAAACAGGCCCAAGAGGUGAGGAGUGUUGUCCAGGUCUUCUGGCCAGAGGAGCGGCAGAGAUGGGAUUUCAACCCUGGGACUGUGUGGCUUGUGACCACUCCUAGCUUCAGCCCUGCCCGGUGCUGAGGGGUUUGGGGCCAGAACGAUGGCCAGAUGUUUGGGCACACUGGGCCCUACCCACCUGGAAAGAGGCUGGCCUGGGGUUGAAUGAGAACCAGAAGUGACUCAGGCUAGGACCCCUCUGCACCCUCCCUCAGGCCGUGGGUAAUUACCUGCCCAGGUUAAUAGCGCCCACUUCCCGCCACCUUUCAUCAAGGCUCCUGGAGCUGCCAGGCAGUAAUUAACCCUCACAGCACCCUUCUGAAGUCAGCACUGGAGGCAGACGUGUGAUGAAACACGUUUAUUACAGGAAGCACCAGUUAGCCCAGAUGCUUCUCAUCUUUGGAGUUGAGCUGCAGGCUGGAGACCUGGAAGGCCCUCGCAGCGCCUGCUCCCAUCCUCUCACCUCACGAAAGCGCAGGAAUGUGGGUUUGGAGCCAAUGAAAAGUACUGGAAUCUGGCUCUGCUCUGUGACCCUGGACAAGUCACUGCCCCUCUCUGGGCUUCAGUUUCCUCCUUGGUCCAUGAGGGCAGGGGAUUUUGUCUGUUUCAUUCACAAUGUGUUCCCAGAGCUCAGCACAGUGUCAGGCACACACUAGGUGUGGACAAGUCAGCAUCUAUCUCCCAUUUUCAGGUAACAGCACCUCGACUUCCUACUGAAGAACCCCCUCUUCCCUUUUCUCAGUCCAUGAGGCUGGGGGUGCCCAGAGGCCUCUGUCUCCAGGGGUGGACAUGUGACCGGGUCUUGCUCUAGUGAUUGGUCCAGGGAUGGGCACAUGACUGAGCCUGCCCAAUGAAACUUGAUCUUGGGACUUCAGGGUUGGCCAUGAUUUGUGAAGGAGAUGCCAUUUUCCAUUGGAUGGACAGUGAGCAAGUGAACGCUUAGAGAAGAAGAGGACAAAACAAGGGAAAAGCCUGCCUGACAGGAAGCAGCACAGAGCUGGACAGGCUUUGAACUCCUGGAUCCCACUGUACCUGAAAUUAGGCACCUUCAACUUUCUAGUUAUGUGAGCCACUGUCUUUCCCAUUUUUGGCUGAAAACAGUUGGGACUGGCUUUCUGUCCCUUGCAUACAGAAGGUGCUGACUGACCCCUGCCCCAUGGAAGAAGAUACUCCAGGCAGAGGAAAUAGUGUGUAUAGACACCCCUAAGCGAAUGCCAAGCGGGGCACUCAUGUACCAAGAAGAAGGAGGAGGAGGCACCUGGGAGCUGAGCUUAAGAGUUAGUCGGGUGGUCAAGGUGGGAGAAGGGGGUAUCUUUAGCAGAGGGAACAACCAUUGCAAAAGCUUGGAGGGGUGACUAGUUAGUGAAGAUCAACUGUGUGCUGAGCUCGUGUUGGGUGGCAAGGGACACAGACGAAAAGGGCACGGUGGAACCCAGCUACUUCUCACCUGCUCCAGCGCAGUGCAGGCUUGUCUGCUUUUGGAGCCGAGCCUGGACACCUCCGUGUCCUUCCCCCGGCAGAGUGCUGCCAGCACGCUGUCUCAGACUCUCCAGCAUCUCCUGGUUGAUGUGCAUCAUGGGGACCACACAAGAUUAUUUUAUAGGCUGCACAGGCAAAGCAUAAAAUCACCUCGGGUCACAUAGCGAGAGUUAUUCUCUCUGCAAAUUCUUUACAGUCUUUCCUUUAUAUCCAGAAGAGUCUCUGUGUGGUGCUAACUUGCCUCGAAGACCAAAUAAUUGCUAGUCUCCCUUUGUGAAAAGGAGAGCAGGUGUCAGGCUCAUUCAUGUCUCAGGCACACAAUUGUAUCUAGCUAGACUUUUCAAAAUGUCCUAUAGAGCUGCAGCACAUAUGAAUGAGGUGUCCAGCUGGUCCCAAACCUGUAAUCGGCACCCCAGUGAGCAGACUGGACAUCCCCACCCCCACAGCUGCCCUUUCUCCCCUCCACUCAUGUUCCCUCUAGGGCCACCACGAUCCCGACUUGUAUCACCACAGAUGAGUUUCACAUGUUUUUGAAUUUUACAUCUUAUCUGUUUUCUGUUCCUAUACAAGUUUGCCUUUUUUGAAUUCCAUAUAAGUGGGAUUCUACAAUGUGUUAUCUCAAUUUGAGUCUGUUUUUUUUUUCCUGCUCAGCAUGAUGUUUUUGAGAUGCAUAUAUGCGGUUUUGUGUAUCUGUAGAUGGUUCUUUUUUAUUGCAGAAUAAUGUUCCAGGGUAUGGAUGUACCAAAGCUUGUUCAUCCAUUCACCAGCUGAGGGAUAUUUGGACUGUUUCCAGUUUUCAGCCAUUAUAAAUAAAGCCACUAGAAACAUUUGCAAAC
rnacentral:lncRNA from 10 species